AUUUGUAACUACGUAAUUCUUGUAUUGCUACAUGCUGAGCCAUGACCAAGUCAUUUUCGAAAGAUUUAUCAGUUCAGUGCUGUGCAUUUCACAGUUAUAGUUCAAAUCCUCCACUUGGCUGAAAUUUGAUGCUUGGAGGCCUACAAAGACGUUUUGUUCCACGCUUGGAUAGUGGCAGAAGAGAAUGGAUUCUCGCAGGGUUUGAUUGAGAAUGCAAUACACACUCCAGCUCUGGACCAGUUGCUGCUUCUACUACAAGGGUUUUGUGGGGGUUUAUGAGGUUGCAAAUUAUAACUAUCCUAAAGUAGAAUGGGGUUUUGUACUGUUCAUUCAAUAGUGUCAUGGCUCUUUUGCCCUUUCAUUCUCUGCCUUUUUACUUGAGUACCCCAGACUGGUGUUCGUCUCCUGUGGGACUCCGCGUGGCUCUGUUUCUUUGCUCCACGAACAGAGAGCAUAGAGAGUUCAAGAACGAUCGAGAAAGUGUGUGAGAAAGAGAGGUGAUAUUCAGAGGCUUUGCGUCUUUGAUCCGCAGAAGUACGGAGAGGGUGAGAGAGGUGAAGAACAAUAGGGAGAGAACUCAGAGAAGACCCAUUUCAAUUCGAUCCGUUUCAACUUCCGUUAAGCUACGCUCUCUUUGGUUAUGUUUUCAGUCAUGCAUCAAAAUUGCAAUGGACUUUGUCUCACCUGAAAAUGUCGGCGAGCGCUUUCACUUGACAGAAGUAUUCCGCACACUGCCAGAAAAUCAUAGGGCUAAAGAGGACAAAUUGGAGGAACUGGGGAGUAUGGUUUCUCUGAAAUGCAUUGCCUGUAUCGUACAUUUCCAAUUAAAUCAUGGUGCUCCGCAGGGAAGGAAAACAAAAUACAAGAUACUAACUCAGUAACUCUCAUGGAAGAGAAGCAGUUGAAUUUUAACCACGCUUAGAGGGUCUGUUAACAGAAUAUCAGAAGAGAUCAGAGACAAGAACUUCUCCCUCUUGCCACCUGUCCUGUCUUUCAAAAUCAAAUGAACCUCUGUGAGGAGUUGAAAGCAUUAAAGGAUGUGGAGUCAAAACCAACCAAUGCUGCGAACAAGGAACCAGCCAAAAAUGCGAAGUCUUAACUGUAAUCAUAGACAAGUUUUUUGCCAAGUCUAAUCAUAUGUAAUAUGUACAUAUGCACCUGCUUGGGUAGCAUUUUUGCAAUCUGGCUAAAGUACCAGAUUUGAAAUGAUGUGUAAUGUAUAUAUAAUUUUGAAAUCUGGCUAAAGUACCCAAUUUUAGAACAUGUAGAAUAAUGUGUACGUAGUUGGAUAUGCAAUUUUGAAAUCUGCCUAAAGUUCCAAAUUUUGGAUCAUGUAAAACAAUGUCUUCUGUACAUCUAUAACGUAUUUA